rnacentral:rRNA from 1 species
AUUGAACGCUGGCGGCAUGCCUUACACAUGCAAGUCGAACGGCAGCGGGGGAGAAGCUUGCUUUUCCUGCCGGCGAGUGGCGAACGGGUGAGUAAUACAUCGGAACGUGCCCUGUAGUGGGGGAUAACUAGUCGAAAGAUUAGCUAAUACCGCAUACGACCUGAGGGUGAAAGUGGGGGACCGCAAGGCCUCAUGCUAUAGGAGCGGCCGAUGUCUGAUUAGCUAGUUGGGGGGGUAAAGGCCUACCAAGGCGACGAUCAGUAGCUGGUCUGAGAGGACGAUCAGCCACACUGGGACUGAGAAACGGCCCAGACUCCUACGGGAGGCAGCAGUGGGGAAUUUUGGACAAUGGGCGAAAGCCUGAUCCAGCAAUGCCGCGUGUGUGAAGAAGGCCUUCGGGUUGUAAAGCACUUUUGUCCGGAAAGAAAUGGCUCUGGUUAAUACCUGGGGUCGAUGACGGUACCGGAAGAAUAAGGACCGGCUAACUACGUGCCAGCCGCCGCUGUAA